GGCUUCGUAGCUCAGCGAAUAAAGUGCUUGCCACGUUGAGGCAUUGUGUUUCUUUCGUUGGUUCGAAUCCAGCCGAAGCCC